rnacentral:lncRNA from 1 species
CACAGACAAUCAUAGCACAUGAGAUAAAAGCAACAAUAUAUAUCCAGAUCAUGGAAACAAUACUCUUAAUAGCAACUGUUAAGAGAAAGCAACAGCAGAGAAGGAACAAAUCUCGCUAGUACAACUUCAGGUUAUAUAGGACAUUGUAAACAUAGCAGGCAACUUUCCUCCUCAAACGACCAGAGCCUUACAGUCCAUUCCAUCCUUGCCUAACAAAAAUGCAAUCUAAGACCUGGGCUUCUCCUUUUUCUCCUUGAAGAGAGCGAGAAGCGAC